UUGAUGUUGUGAUGUAUACAGGUGUGUUUAAGUAUACCACUAUUCGUAAAAGGUUUAGCAUACACGGUAGUUGGUGUAUUUAACAGCUUAAAUGUUUGAAACAAACUCAUUUUAUUUUAAAAAAACUCAUAAAUCAGAAGUUAUGUCAGGAAAACGGGUGUUGUGCGUCGCUCAGUUAAUCGGAGUGUUCCUUUUCUGUUUUGGUUUGGCCGGCGGUAUACUAAUUGGGAUUUACUUAUAUCAUGGAGGACCCGAUAGUGAAGUUUCUUGCAAGAAUCUCCCAGAUUGGCUAAAGAACGGAGACAAGACUACUAGCACUUUACAAACGACCGUAACUUACGGACCAACCACUCCAAAGACUGAAUGAAUCAACUGUAAUACAGAAAAGCGCUUCACGUACACUAUUAAUAAUCAGCUACGAGAACCAUUUUUCAACAACAGCGUUUCCAUGGAAAUCGAAGACGAAGACAGUACCCUGAUUGAUUACAUGGAAAGGGCAGUUGAUCAAAAUAAUACACUUUUUACAAAAUUCACGGCAACGUAUUUUUCUGGUUUGGGAUAUUUCAUCGAAUCUAUCAAUAACGUUAGUGGAACCUUUGCAGUUGAUGAAUCAUACUGGGAAAUACGUACACAGACAGGACCAACAACAGUGGGUGUAAGUUCUUUUAUACCAACAGAUGGAGUGGAGGUCCUAUUCAACCUUACUAUCAGCUCUCCAGACAACGAACACAAUUAAAUUUAUAAUGAUUGUAUUUGUAGUUUUAAUUGUAUUGUCUUGUGUUUUAUUUUGCAUUGUAUUGUGUGACUGUAUUUCAUUGUACUGAACAGAUUACAGAUCUACCAUUGAGUUAGACAUGAAGGACACCCCUUUAGGUAUUCUCUGUUUCUUUAUCUAAAUCAAAACCACAGAUUUUGAUGAAACAACAAUUAAUGUAUCUUCUAUAACAAAUGAUAUAUAACAUAAGGAAACCAUCCUCUUAACUGUACUCAUAACGCGAGUAGUAAUAUUAUUCAUAAUUAUCUUAAUAGUUGGGAAAUUGUGGGAUUUAACUCAAUACAGGAUUGGAGCAAUACCUGUAGACGCUUGCAGAAAUCAUGAUCACAAAAUAGACAAAUAUCUUUUUUUCGCGGAUUUUUACAUUUUUCAAUCAUUAUCAGACAUAAAUCGGUGUGAAAAGAUCAAUUAGACGAUUUAAAGUUCAUUCCGUUGGAUGAAAAAGCAAGAUUUUAGCAUUUUAUCAUUGAAGCGCCUUGUCCGGUAUAUACCGGAAUACGGUAUUUAGUGUGGUGUUCCAAUCGUUUAUUUAGUCUCACUCGAAAUUGUGUGCAUCACUGGUACUGUUUAACAUCAUAAGAUUGCUAAACAUCGUUGAGUACAAUAGUGAAUUCAAUUGGACGAGCACACAGCUGUCAAAACUAUUAUAUCCGAGGUUCAGUCGAGUCCAAUAUAGAAAUUGUAGCUAUGUACAAGCUGCAACAAGCAGCAAUCGUAAUAAGAUUACAUUAUAGAUUUGAUAUAGAUCUAUUAGUUACUGAAAAUUAGAACGAGGCUUAAUGAAAUAAAACAUAAACUUGAUAAGAGCGAGGCUAAAUUGAUAAGAAUGGAUCCCUUAAUGAUUGCACCUGUUUGAAACACAGGAAGGUCAUUGAUUACAUUUAAAAUGUGUGAACUGAUAUAGAAUAUAAAGUUUUCCCCUUGUAAACUUUAUUUGUGCAUUUCCACUGUUCAGUUUAUAUAUUUCAAUAUUUUUUUCUUUAUACAAAGGCGGUAUGUCCAUCAGUAUACAGUAAUAAAAUAAAUACAAUUGUUAUUUACAUAUCAAUUGCAUGAUAUAAGCAUGAUAUACAUGCAACACGUCCAUUACAAAGUCAUUUCUUAUUCAUUAUAACUUAUCUAAUAUAUAAUAUAAACGUUACAGUCAGAGAAUAUAAUUAUCGUUGAUGAAGUACACUGUCUGCUUUAUUAAAACAUUUUAAAACAGAUAUCUCUAAGUAUUUAACUUUGCACACAUUUUCCGAUUCAAGUAAUUUUCUAAGUUUUAGUUUAUUAUGUCUUCUCCAUAUGCAUUUGUCUAACAUAUUAGUACAGUGAAUAUCCGAAUAAAAAAUGAAAUUCAUCAUCCAUAGUGUUACAUAGAGUACAUUUACUUUGAUCAAGUAAUAUCGUAUGUGGCUUAUGACAUCUAUCUGCUUUUACUUCAAGAUAAUGGGCUGGCAUUAUCGGUUUUGUAAGCUUCUAUAUUUUAACAAUGUCUUAUGGCUGAUAUCUAAAACUUGAAAAAACAUGUAGUCUGUAUGUCCUGACUGUUAUCAAUUGUUCUGAUUGAGUGUUCAUUUUUAUUCAGACUAUACUGAAGUACAUCGAAAGAAUAGCCACACAUGAUUGAAACACGAGGAUUGUAAUGUUUCAUGUUUUUAAGAUACGUUUUUAAGUAUCUAUACAUCGUAUUUUAUACAUGUUAUAUUUUUGUAUAUUUGCAUUGUAAUAUUUUAAUCAAAUAUCUUACUGUACAUAUUAGCCUAUUUUUAUGUCUACUUGACUGUCCCUCCAAAAGACAAAUCUACAUUGGGUUUGAUUACGUAUUCCUUAAAGGUGUUAACAAUAUUCUAAAUAUUAUUUCUAUACUAUUAAUUUUGCAUACGUUGUGCAUGUUGUUAAAAUGUAGCAUAAAUAAUUUUACUGCGUUUUGUUCUCGAGGGUAUAUUUCUCAGUUCAAAUAUCAUAUUAAAAAUCCUUUCUGGGUAAAGCUAACUGUCAUGUUUAAUUUGCAGAUAAUAUUGCCUUUACUGACAAUUUCACAUAUUUAAUGCCUACAUUCAAUCAUAAGUGUAAAACUGUCUAACCUUUUUCACAGACUACGGUAAUCUAGAUAUGAUUCUAAUAUGCAUAUUGCCAGUAAAUUCUCAUCGCAAAUUAUCAGUUAAAAUGACUCGUUUGCCUUAUUCUUAUAAUAUUGAUUUAGGUCAAUCAUUUACUUUAUUGACGCCAAAAUUUUAGUUAUCUCUUUUUUUAAAAGAAAUGUAAAUAUGUUGAGACUAGAUAGCGGUACUUACACGUCCAGAAAUAAAUUACGUACCAUAUCUAGGUUAUGGUGUUGUCGUACAAAGUCUUAGAUGUGAAAGAAAGACAAAAAAUAACAACUGCUUAUGAACUUUAAUUGUAAGAGAGUAAACUCUACCGCGCAUAGUGACAUUUUUUCCAGGAAUGACUUAGGCGUAGUCACCCUUACACAAAGUAUAGAGUAAAUUUACCAUAAGAUCAGCUCUUUCGAUAUAGUGAUAGGCAAUACUAUUUUAUGCAUAAAUGCUUGAACGAAUAAGUUGAUGUUUACAAUUUUCAAUUUGUUAAUGUGAAAAAGUUCUUUUACAGUAUGACUUCUAUUCUCCUUUUACAAAUUAUAUAUAGACAGAUUUAUAGACAUUUAUGAAAUAAAAAUUGAUAUCUUU